UAGUGGCGAGCGUUAUUCGGAUUUACUGCGUGUAAAGGGCGUGUACGCCGGUCUGCAAGUCGAUGUAAAUUCCGGCUUAACUCGGGCGGUCAUCCGAAACUGCGGAUCUUGAGUACUGAGAGGAUAGUGAAUUCCUAGUGUAGCGGUGAAAUGCGUAGAGAUUAGGAAGAACACCAGUGGCGAAGGCGACUUACUGGACCGUAACUGACACUGAGGCACGAAAGCGUGGGUAGCAAACAGGAUUAGAUACCCUGGUAGUCCACGCCGUAAACGAUGAGUACUAGGUGUAGGGGGUAUCGACUCCCCCUGUGCCGCAGUUAACACAAUAAGUACUCCGCCUGGGAAGUACGAUCGCAAGAUUAAAACUCAAAGGAAUUGACGGGGGCCCGCACAAGCAGCGGAGCAUGUGGUUUAAUUCGAAGCAACGCGAAGAACCUUACCUAGACUUGACAUCCCCUGCAUUACUCGUAACUGAGGAAGUCCUUCGGGACAGGGAGACAAGUGGUGCAUGGUUGUCGUCAGCUCGUGUCGUGAGAUGUUAGGUUAAAUCCUGCAACGAGCGCAACCCUUAUCAUUAGUUGCUACCAUUCAGUUGAGCACUCUAGUGAGACUGCCUGGGUUAACCGGGAGGAAGGUGGGGAUGACGUCAAAUCAUCAUGCCCCUUAUGUCUAGGGCUACACACGUGCCUACCAAUGGUGAGUACAAAGAGAUGCCAUCCCGUGAGGGGGAGCCCACUUAUAAAACUCAUCUCAGUUCGGAUUGUAGGCUGAGACUCGCCUACAUGAAGACUGGAGGUGCUAGUAAUCCGCGAAUCAACAUGUCGCGGGUGCAAUACGUCCCGGCC
rnacentral:rRNA from 1 species